UCAUGGGGAUUGCGAUCUCCCCACGAGGCGACAUGCCCAAGCAUCGCGUCCAGCUCUCCUGUGGCGAGGACGCAUCAUG
rnacentral:ncRNA from 1 species